UAAUGCACACAGGGCUUUGAACCAAGGGUUUAAUUUGGUCGCUUUCCCGACAUCACACAUUACCUUUCAAACAUAAUUGGGGAAAUCUUUGGGGAGCCAAUAGCGAAACCGGCAUAUAUGUCG
rnacentral:ncRNA from 24 species